UGUGAUGAAUUAGGUCUACGCUUGCGAGCAAGAGACGUUGGAUUGAGAUUAGGGGUACGAGCGAAGUGUUCGUGGAGAGUUGUACAGGAUAAAAUACACACCUGAGUGAGUAAGAAAAGUAAAUGUUAGAAUGCUAUUUUGUGGACUUAUACGUAACUCGAAGAGGUCUCGAUGUAUGAAAUGUUGUUGUGUAGGGCGGAGGAAAAGUUCGCCUAGAGUGAGCGUGAUAACGGGAUUAUGUUGUUAUGCGUAAAUGAAAUGUUGAAUUAAAAUAGAAAUGUGGCAACUGAGGUUGAAAGGAUGCACAAUAAGUAGCAUGUUUCAGAUUUAUUACAUAAUUAUGCAUAAGAUACUCACCCAGGAGUAAUAAUACAAUGAGGAGUUGUAGAAUUGCACUAUUUUGCAUAUAGUAGUACAGUGGAGUAAAUGUGUGGAGCGUGAAAUUCUUGGAGACUUGAGAAAGUAAUAUAGAAAACCUGUCCUGAUCUAUAAGAAUGGUUGAAUUCUGGAGGUAUUUGAGUUUCGCGGACGAAACUAAUUUAACGGGGGGAUAUUGUAAUAUACCAAAACUCCAGGUUGUGAUGCUAACUUUGACCUAGAGGAUCAAAGAGAAGUUUGAGUUGAAUAUGAAUCGUUAUUGAGCAUUUCUGGAGGCGUGGGAAGGAUUUCUGAAGGUAUUUGAGUGUUUCGGCGUAAAUCGGGCGCGAAACAAAGUUGAAUGAGAAUUUUCGGAUUACAAGGCUAACUUUGAUACAAUU
rnacentral:lncRNA from 1 species